GAUGAGGCUCGAGCUUGAAGCGCGCAGGGCCAGAGACGCCGUGUAGACCCGCGACCCGGAGCAGCUCAAGAGGCGGUGAAUAAUAGCUCUUCAAGUCUGCAAUAAAAAAUGGCCUCCAAUAAAACUACAUUGCAAAAAAUGGGAAAGAAACAGAAUGAGAAGAGUAAAAAGGUUGAAGAGGCAGAGCCUGAAGAAUUUGUGGUGGAAAAAGUACUGGAUGGACGUGUAGUAAAUGGGAAAGUGGAGUAUUUCCUGAAGUGGAAGGGAUUUACAGAUGCUGACAAUACUUGGGAACCUGAAGAAAAUUUGGAUUGUCCAGAGUUAAUUGAAGCAUUUCUUAAUUCUCAAAAAGCUGGUAAAGAAAAAGAUGGUACAAAAAGAAAGUCUUUAUCUGCCAGUGAAUCUGAUGAUAGCAAAUCAAAGAAGAAAAGAGAUGCUGCUGACAAACCAAGAGGCUUUGCCAGAGGUCUUGAUCCUGAAAGAAUAAUUGGUGCCACAGAUAGCAGUGGAGAAUUAAUGUUUCUUAUGAAACAGAAAGAUUCAGAUGAGGCAGAUUUGGUGCUGGCAAAAGAGGCAAAUAUGAAGUGUCCUCAAAUUGUAAUUGCUUUUUAUGAAGAGAGACUAACUUUGCAUUCUUGUCCAGAAGAUGAAGCUCAAUAAUUGUUUGCAUUGCUUUUUAUAUAUAUUUAUAUAUAUAUAUAAAAUCUGGGUCUUGGUUUUUGAUUUACUAGUGUGAAGAAAUAACUACAUCUAAUAAAUCAAGUUUGAUACAUUUGUUUUGAAAGUAGUAUUGAGAGAGUUGUUGGGGGGGGGUUGCAUCAAUAGCACUGGUUACUUUGAACAAAUAAAAGCUUUCUGUAGUUGCUUCCUUUAUCAGAAAAGAACAUAUGAUACCAUGGUAUAUUACUUCCUCUGUGCUAGGGAACAGCUUUUCUAAAUGCUAGGGGAAAUUUCCAUACCCAUUAUUCAAUCAGAGCUUGUGUUUAACUCAUGCCUAAGGACCAUUCUGGGUUUUUUUAAUUUGUUUUUGUGUGUGUAUACGUAAAAUGCAUAUGUAAAUGAUUGUUUUUAAACAUUCACCAAAACAAAAAUCACGGGUAAGCCCAUGUGUCUGCGAUGCUAUCAUUUUGAGCAACCUAAGAAUUGAAAAUUUUCCUGAAGCCAUAACAUUUCAAACUGAAUAGUCGGUUCGUAAUUAAUUGGAUAAUUUAAAGGCAGCCAUAUCCGAAGACAUAGCUGCAUGUUUAUUCAUAUAAAUGCAACAUUGUGUUUGCAGAAUUCCUAAAAGGAAAAGCUUUAUCGCUACCAACAAUCUCCCCACCCAGAUGAGGAAACUAGAUAAAUUCUGGUGUGUUCUAAUACUGUAAACAAGACUUUAGUUAAAUGCACAUUAAAGAUUCCCCUAGUGAGCAAUUGUUUUACAAGAACUUGAAAUCCCUAUGCUGCAUUGAAUAAAAGUUCAUGAUUAAUGGAAUAUCUGAGGCUUGGCUCAUGGAAACUUAAUCAGAUGGUUAGAAAUGUUGGCAGUUUCAGAUGUGCUGACGUAAUGGGUAAACAAACUUUUUGUAAUCUAUUGACUGCAUGUUUUUUCCUUACCCCAACUCAUUUCUUACAUGUAGGCUCAAUCUUUUCAGUAUUUGGGUUACUGGUUCUGCAGAAGCCAGGAAAACAGCCUUGUAGUAAUCAGAAUGUUAUCCAACUGUAUAUUGUUUACUUUAUUGUAAAUACUGGUGAACAGUGGUCAAUAAAUAGUUUUAUAUUCCUUUAAAAAAAA